UAACCCACCACUCUGGUAGGCAGCAUUCAAUCCUUCUAUGCCUUUUCUUCGUCAACUGUUGAGGUCUUACUUCUGAAACAGAAGAAAUAAACAAGUCAGAUUUACCUUCUUGGAAAUGUGGUCCAGAUUUCUCUACUCCCAAGCUCCAAAAAA
ensembl:misc_RNA